UACGUAGGGGGCAAGCGUUGUCCGGAUUCAUUGGGCGUAAAGAGCGUGUAGGCGGCCAGGUAGGUCGGUUGUGAAAACUGGAGGCUCAACCUUCAGACGUCGACCGAAACCAUCUGGCUAGAGUCCGGGAGAGGAGAGUGGAAUUCCUGGUGUAGCGGUGAAAUGCGCAGAUAUCAGGAAGAACACCCGUGGCGAAAGCGGCUCUCUGGAACGGUACUGACGCUGAGA
rnacentral:rRNA from 1 species